rnacentral:misc_RNA from 1 species
ACAAUCUUCUCUUGGUUUGUUUCUGUAUAAAACAGGAAUUUUCACAUCAAUACUGGCAGAUAAGCAAAACUUGCAAGCUCUUAUUGUCCUAAACUGCAGCAGUUACAUAUGAUCAAUACUAGCACAAUUCCGAGUGAACUGGGAUAAAACUGGAAGAGGUUAAGAGAAGCACAUAGCUGAAAAAGUUAGAAAGGAACCUUCAGCUGCUAGAUUUGCUACAA